rnacentral:rRNA from 1 species
GACGAACGCUGGCGGCGUGCUUAACACACGCAAGUCGAACGGAAAGGCCCUGCUUUUGUGGGGUGCUCGAGUGGCGAACGGGUGAGUAACACGUGAGUAACCUGCCCUUGACUUUGGGAUAACUUCAGGAAACUGGGGCUAAUACCGGAUAGGAGCUCCUGCUGCAUGGUGGGGGUUGGAAAGUUUCGGCGGUUGGGGAUGGACUCGCGGCUUAUCAGCUUGUUGGUGGGGUAGUGGCUUACCAAGGCUUUGACGGGUAGCCGGCCUGAGAGGGUGACCGGCCACAUUGGGACUGAGAUACGGCCCAGACUCCUACGGGAGGCAGCAGUGGGGAAUAUUGCACAAUGGGCGGAAGCCUGAUGCAGCAACGCCGCGUGCGGGAUGACGGCCUUCGGGUUGUAAACCGCUUUCGCCUGUGACGAAGCGUGAGUGACGGUAAUGGGUAAAGAAGCACCGGCUAACUACGUGCCAGCAGCCGCCGUAAUAC